rnacentral:rRNA from 1 species
CCUACGGGAGGCAGCAGUAGGGAAUUUUCCACAAUGGGCGAAAGCCUGAUGGAGCAAUACCGCGUGCAGGAUGAAGGCCUUCGGGUCGUAAACUGCUUUUAUGUGCGAAGAAUUUGACGGUAACACAUGAAUAAGGAUCGGCUAACUACGUGCCAGCAGCCGCGGUCAUACGUAGGAUCCAAGCGUUAUCCGGAAUUACUGGGCGUAAAGAGUUGCGUAGGUGGCAUUAUAAGUGGAGCGUGAAAGCGUGCGGCUCAACCGCAUUAUUGCGUUCCAAACUGUGAAGCUUGAGUAUGGGAGAGGUAGAUGGAAUUUCUAGUGUAGGAGUGAAAUCCGUAGAUAUUAGAAGGAACACCGAUGGCGUAGGCAGUCUACUGGCCCAUUACUGACACUAAGGCACGAAAGCGUGGCGAGCAAACGGGAUUAGAUACCCCGGUAGUCCACGCUGUAAACUAUGGAUGCUAGCUGUGACACACAUCGACCUGUGUCGUAGCGAAGUUAACGCGUUAAGCAUCCGCCGUCGGGAGGUACGGUCGCGAGAGUAAACUACAAUAGUAAGUAGUACGGCGUGAGACGUGACCGACGGACGACGACGAGGGAGGUUAGGG